CGUUGCCAUCUUGGUCGGUGGUCCAAAUGAUUAGCCAAGCAAGGGAAGUUUGCAACCUAAGCCCUCGUUCUUAGUCGGUUUUGCGAGUGUACAAUUAUGUUAACUAAGGGGCCAGAAACUCCCCAUAAUCCGCUAAUGAAAGUCCAUAAUUUAAAAACAUCACUGCAGAAGUCAACAUACAAAUUUCCCAGUUAUGACCAUCUUGUCUUUUUGGAGACUGAUUUGAAUCAGCAACUGCCAAGUUUGUGCAGGUCACUCAAGCAGCAUGAGGUCACUCUUCCAUCCAAGUACACUAGACAGGCGCUUGUUGCAGCCAGUGGAUGAGCUUUGCCUCUUCCUGACACUGGAUCUCAGAGACCUGGGCCAACACUUUCUCAUCCAUCCCUCUGCAGUCAGUAGGAUCAUCAUCACCUGGGCCAACUUCCUAUACACACUGCUUGGAGCAGUGACCAUCUGUAUGACACAAGAGGAAAUGAAGGCCAAUCUACCGGAGGAAUUUAAAAGCUACCCAGACACGCAGGUCAUUGUUGACUGCUCCGAGCUUAGGUGUCAGAAAUCGUCCUUUCUUCUGCUGUAGAGUGAGAUGUUCUACAACUACAAAUCCCACUGCACAAUUAGGGCAUUAUUGGGAAUAGCUCCUCAUGGACCGAUCACGGUUGUGUCCUCACUGUAUGCAGGCUCCAUCCUCAUCGAUGACCUUGGGUGAUUCGGAGGGGGAAGAACAAGUUCUAAGAACAAGGAGAUUACACCGGACACAGCGAUCCUAGAUGUCUCAGGAACUUCUCACAAUUCAACUUUGAACUGGCUCAUACUGCUGUUACCACACUGUGUACCGGACAGAGAUCAAAAGAAAAGGUAUCAGUUUCAUAUUAACCAACGUUUGUAAGCACGCAUGUAUACAUAAUUGAGGAUGCCUGUAUAAACGCAAGACUGAUGAGACUUUGUACUAGCCUUUUGCAUUAUGAUGUGACUGCGUGUAGGCCUACCCCAAGUACUCUAUAUUAAAGCUGACGCUUCAACUGCU